CCCUCCCUCCAUAGGGAGCGACCUCCUCUCCAGCCCUAAAGAGGGAGAAACACAAGCAGGGCACGUCGCCUGUUUUUAGCCGUGGGAAUACAACAAAACCCGACGGUGCUUAGGUGGCUGUAUCUUAGCGUAAACAGCUCCGUAAGCAUCUGUUGAAACCGUGGCGUUAGUUUGGAAAACAUGCGGUUGCGGCGGCGGCUCAAGCGGGAUCAUGAGGGACUGGAAGCUGGGAUUCGCCCAUUAGACUGCUAGGAGAGGGUUCAUUAGCCUGUUAGCUUAACGGAUAAACGCAGCUAGCUAGCGAAGGAGCGGCGGACGCUAAACUUCGGAGCUAGCGAGGAGAAUUUCAAAGUCUACCUCAGCCCUCGUCGUUCCCUCCCCCCCUCACCUUGCAGAGUGGGAUUUAUUUAUCUUUACUCAGAUACCUUAUCUUCAGCUGAUGGUUGAACACGCCAAACUAUAUUUUGCAACUGUUUCGUGUGCUGCUUGUCCAGUAGCUAACAGUAUUGAUCAGAGCAGCUUGUUAAUCACUCGGGGUCGGCUUUGUGCUUCCAGGCCAUGGACUGAACAGCCUUCUUCAACCAAAAGGUAGCUGGCUUGCUGGCCGGGUUUAAAUAGCAAGUCCAGUUUAUACAUCCCUGACCUUUUGCUUUUGGACUGGGAUAAGGGAAAAAUAUAUAACGUUCUGCUGGAUCGAGUACUUUUGGGAUCAUGCUCUGGAUGCUCGACUCUGUCCCGUAUUGGAUGUGAAGGAAAACCGAGCGGAUUCUUCUUUUUUUCUACUUUCUCGAGCUAGAUAAGCUGUAAAAAAUUUUUUUUUUUAAAAAAUCCUAUAUAUUUAUAUAAUGUCUACUGCGAAAGAAAACCCUUGUAGAAAAUUCCAGGCGAAUAUUUUCAACAAAAGCAAAUGUCAGAAUUGCUUCAAGCCGCGUGAGCUGCAUCUGCUGACCGACCCAGACCUCAACCAGGCUAAACCGAUCUAUGGAGGCUGGCUGUGCUUGGCUCCAGAGGGAACGGAUUUUGACAAUCCGAUGCACAGGUCUCGGAAAUGGCAGCGGCGCUUUUUCGUCCUCUACGAACACGGCUGCUUGCGCUUCGCUCUGGAUGAAUCGCCAAGCACAUUACCACAAGGCACUGUCAACAUGAACCUGUGCACAGAUGUGAUAGAUGCUGAGCCUAAGACCGGCCAGAAGAACGCGCUGUGCAUCAUCACACCUGAACAGGAGUAUUACAUUCGGGGGGACAGCAAGGAAAUUAUCAAUGGGUGGAGCGAGCAGCUAGUUGUUUAUCCAAGGACUAACAAGCAAAAUCAGAAGAAGAAGCGUAAGGUGGAGCCAACGACGUCUCAGGAGCCUGGUCCAGCCAAGGUAGCUGUGACUGGCUCGGGGAUCCCUGAGGCGGAGAAGGUUCCAGACUCCAGCUCCAUCAUAUGGCAGGAGGAGCUGCAGAGCAGAGAAGCAGAAGUGUCACAAGCAUGGUCCUCAACAGACAUGACACCCCAGGGCUCACUGCUGACGCCUGCAGCAGAGGAAGCAUCUGUGAGCCGCAGUUCUGUGGACCUGGGCUCUGUUAACGGAGAUGAAGUGGACCGCUGUGCAUUCUCCUUUCCCCCGUGUCUUUCCCAGCCCCCGCAGGACCUGGUUUCGCCGACAGCAGGCAUGCUGGGCGGUGUUCCACGUUGUCCUUCGCCUGCACACAGUGAACCCUUCCCCUCAGGCAGCAGUCUGUUGUCUAAUGGCUCGCACAUCAGUGGCUCCAUCAGCUCACUGGACUCGGACGCCAGCACAGACAGCCACGUGCCACUCCGAGGACGCAGCAAGCCUGAGAAACGCAGAGAGAGACAAGACAGAGAGGCUGUACUCAGCCCAGAAAGGAGUGGCCGCUCGAACGUGAUCGAGAAGCUUGAGGCGCUGGAGCUGGAGAACGCGGAGAGGAUGGAGGUCGAGGAGACUGUGCGAGGCGAGACCAGACAGGGCCGCAGUGAAAUGAGGCGCUUCAACAGACAGGAGCAGAAGCUUGACUCAGGACAGGGUCUGGACUUCCACCACUCCACUCUCCCUCCACUGAGAAGAGCCAAGUCACUGGACCGCAGGACAACAGAGUCAGUCAUGACGCCAGACCUGCUGAAUUUCAAGAAAGGCUGGAUGGUGAAACUCGAUGAGCAAGGCCAGUGGAAGAAGUAUUGGUUUGUACUGACGGACCACAGCCUGCGGUAUUAUAAGGAUUCGAUUGCUGAGGAGGCAUCAGAUCUAGACGGCGAAAUUGACCUCAGCACAUGCUAUAAUGUUACAGAGUACCAAGCUCAGCGCAACUAUGGCUUCCAGAUUCAUACCCAGGAGGGACUGCACACCCUCUCAGCCAUGACAGCAGGAAUACGCCGCAAUUGGAUCCAAGCUGUCAUGAAAAAUGUUCGACCUUCCACAGCGCCCGAUGUUGCAAGCUCGACGGAUGAACAUGGAUCCUUUGGCCCCUUGGAGAAUCUUACACGGCCCGACAUCACUCAAGACUCUCCAUCCUCCGAGGCCUCGUCUGUGGAGCGUGAGCCCAGGAAGAGUCGGGCACGAGAGCGGCGACGCGAAGGACGAUCCAAAACAUUCGACUGGGCCGAGUUCAGGCCCAUCGCCCAGGCCCUGGCUCAGCAGAGAGCCCAUGAAGCUGACGCGCUGCAGGCUCAGCUUGGCGACAGUGAACGCAGCAAGAGGAGGGAGGAGAGACGGAGGAGGUAUGAAUGUGUGACGGGCAGCUUGUCCUUUGAGCCGUGUCCGCCUGACACCAGCAGGGUGGACCCAGAGAAUGCGCACACGAAUGUGGGUAGCGUCUGUCCGCCCUCGCCAGAGCGUCAGCAGAAAGUGGAAGAUGAGAUCGAGCGGCGCUGGCAGCAGGUGGAGAAAACUCCAAUCAGAGAUGAGAGGAGAGUACCGCUGUCCACGCCACUGAGGAACAGAGAGACAACUGACCUUGAAAAACUACUAGAGAGCUACAAAAAGGGGGUAGAAGAUCUGAAAGCACAGUUAGAGACGUGCCACCAGCAGCUGGCGGAUUCUAACCAGCACAAGCAGGAGCUUGAGAACCAACUCAAAGCUGCUCUGGACCGAGAGAAUCAGAUCCGCGCUGGCUACAUCUCACCGCUGGAGUCACCUUUGAGUCUUGAGACAAAGCCCCAGAUGAAGAAGCCAGAACUGGUUAGUUCUCAAGCUCAGAGCUUAACAAAGAAGUACCAAGAAACCAAAGAGCUUCUCCAGCUGCAAGAACUGAAAAAGCGCAACAUGCAGGCACAGCUUGGCCUUUCACUUUCACACUUAUGCACCAAGGAACCUUACCUUUCUGACACCACAAAAUCAUCCACCUCCGAGAGCCUUUCUUCUAGUCUUGUAACAAAAUCUGUCACCUUUGUACUUCAGGAUAAUGAGGGCAAGAUCAGAGAGCUUGAGGACCUGAUAGAUUGUAGUAAACCGUUUUCGGUUAAGGAGUUGAUAAAACUGCUGCAGUGUCACACUGAUUCUGUACUUUUCCCUCAAGAUGCCAAUGAACACGAUAGAUCGAGCGACAUAACGAAGUGUCAGAAACUUUUGGAAAGUCUUAAAACUCACCAGGAAAUGGAGAACGAGACCAUGAGGAAGAGUCUGGCCAAGGCCGGGGACAGCAUUCGGGAUUACGAGGCUCGACUGAUCACAAUGGAGGACAUGUUAGGAAGGGUCCAGAAAACUCCCUGUAUAUCGCCAUGUCAACAGGACGACUCGGCACAAAUGAUGAACCGCGGUCUAUCUCAAAGGGUCGAACUGCUAACAAGUGAAAACGAAGCACUAAACCAGCAGUAUCAGGAAAUAGUCAACCAGCUGAGAGAGGCAGACCGAGAAAUAGACAGACUGAAAGCAGAGCUUCACAGACUUCAAAAUGGGCAACAGUGUCAGGAAAGCAGAGGAAAUCAGGAUGUGAUUGAGCCAGGAGACAAAGAAACUGUUAAGACUUUGUAUGAGCAGGAACUCCUUGACAAGUCUCAGAAGCUUGAAGAGGCACUAAUCAAGUUGGAGGUACUUGGGAAUAGUUUGAAAGACACAGAAAAGAAGCUGCAGCUCAAAGAGGCUACUCUGAAAGGUCUCGGAUUUCAGGUGCCCGAAAAUGAAAAUGGCGACGAAUCACCCGAAUCUGAGAAAGACCACCUCAGACAUCAUAUAGAGAUAAUCGAGUCCAAGCUUUCCGAAAAGGAAAAGUUGCUUCAGUCUGUUGAACACAUGUGCAGAGAGCUUGAAGCACAGAACAAGGAACUCCAGACGAGAAAGCAAAAAGCUGAACAGACCUUUAAACAAGCCCUUUCAGAGGCUAAAGAGGACAUUAGAAUGUUGAAAGAGAGAGCUGUGGAGGAGGUACAGUCUGAUAACGAAUGCAGAGUCGACAGUAAGUGCCGAGAGUUGAUGCAGAGUGAUGAAGGUGUGAUGGAGGAAGUGUUUGAAGGUUUCAAGAGAAGGUCUAGUGCUCUUAAUCAAGUGUUAGCCAUGUUGAUGAAGUCCAGUGAGGACAAGUUUGAUGGAUCGAGCGUUGACUUUGAGGAAGGUAAGGUGGGAAGGAAUUUGACAGGGAGGAUGAUGGCAUUGUUUGAGAGAGAGAUUUUGGGUAGAGUUUUAAGUGGCGUUGAGAAAAGUCAAGUAGGUAACGGAGACGGUGAGCAAGCAUCCGUCGUCAAAAAUACAGCAGAACGAAUGCUAGUGGAAAAUAAAAUCCUGUUUUCUGUGAUCAAAACCAUUGAGAGCUCUGUAAACACUGAACACACAGAGAUGCAGAUUGAUAAAGAUGUAGUCGGAGAUGAGAAGAUUAAGGAUGUGAUUAUUAAAAAGCUUGUUGAAACCUUACAAAGUAGAGUAGCCUUGUUGAAUCGGAUAGCUUCAGCCGUUAAUGAGCCUGCGAAUGAACAGUUCAAGUCUUUGGUUUUAACGCUCUCUAGCUGUGGGCCUCAAACACAGUGGUCUCAGUGUGUUCAAGAUGCGUUAUUGGAUGUGACUCGCACAUAUAUUCUAAUACGGCAAAGACACUCAGACGUUGAAGAAGCCACAGCUGAUUGUGCUAGUUGUUCUCAGUUAAAAGAACAAAACCUGGAGCUUAAAUUAAAGCUCGACCAACUGUCCACCCAAACAUCAAGCCCUCAAAUCCCUGUCGCUGAUGACUCCAAGCCAGUGACGCACAUCCACUUAGAGGGUGAACCCAUCGAUUCACUGGACAAGGCUAUUCAGCUACAAGACAUGGUGGCAAAACACAAGAAGGAGCUUCGGGAAGUGAGGGAGGAGUACGAGCGAGAAGUGACCAAGCUGAAGGAGGAAGUUGCCAAGAGCGAGGAAACGCUACGGCUGAGAUCCGAAGAGAACGUAAAAGAGAUCGAUUCUCUGACUGUCUGCAUGGAGAAUCUACAGAAGAAGCAUGAGGUGGAGCGUAACAUGUUGGUGGAGCAUUUCAACCAGGAAUUGGCUGAGCUUAAUGAUGUGAUAGGGUCUCUUGGAGCAGAUGUUCCAGAUGAUGGGCAGCUAAACGCAGCUUCCCUCAAACAGCGCAUCCAGCUAGUGGUGCAAGUGACAGAAGAGACCAAGCGGCGAGAUCGCGAGGAGGACGCAACAUUACUGCGUCUCAAAUACGAGAAAGACCUGGAAAACCUAAAGGCUACAUGUGAGAGAGGCUUUGCUGCCAUGGAGGAGUCGCAUCAGAAGGUCAUAGAUGAGCUGCAGAGGAAACACCAGCGGGAACUGGAGAACCUGCAGGAGGAGAAGGAGAGACUGUUGGCUGAGGAGACAGCAGCCACCAUUGCUGCUAUUGAAGCUAUGAAGAAUGCACAUCGGACUGAGCUGGAGAAAGAAUUGGACAAAGCAAGGAAAGCCCAUAGUAACACUGAAAACGCAGACAUUGAGGAAAUUCGCAGACAACACGAGGAGGAGCUGCUGUCAUGUCAGAGGGAAAUCGAAGUGCUGUCUGAGCAGUAUUCGCAGAAAUGUCUGGAAAACGCUCACCUCGCACAGGCACUGGAGGCUGAGAGGCAGGCCCUGCGUCAGUGCCAGAGAGAGAACCAGGAGCUUAAUGCGCACAACCAGGAGCUGAAUAAUCGUCUGGCUGCUGAGAUAACAAAAAUGAGAUCAAUGACCAGCGAGGAAGCCGAAUCUGGAACGGUCAUUCAGGGAAAAGAGCUAUACGAACUAGAGGUCAUGCUGAGGGUGAAGGAAUCCGAAGUGCAGUAUCUGAAGCAGGAGAUCAACUCAUUAAAAGAUGAACUACAAGCCGCCCAAAGAGAUAAAAAGUAUGCAACCGAUAAGUACAAGGACAUCUACACGGAGCUGAGCAUUGUGAAGGCCAAGGCCGAGCGAGAUCUGGGGCGGCUACGGGAGCAGUUACAGUUAGCCCAUGAGGCAUUGGGAGAACCCACGCCAGAGGAGGUGCAGCGAGGAGGAUAUGAUAUCAUGAAAUCAAAGAGCAAUCCAGACAUACUGAAGAUGGCUGCCGCGGCUGCAAAACGCUCUGAGCGUACCUUGAGGUCAAAGGUACAGACGUUGAAAUAGAAAUGUUGCCAGGGUAGAAAUCUUUCUUGCUUCGUUGUAGAAUUCCCCCCAUGACAAGUGCAGAUACUUCUAAAGUAGUACUGAGUAAUACAUUUCCCAUCAUGCUGUGCUUGCUGGCAUGUACAGUACAGGGUCAAAUGUUUGUGGACGUGUGACCAUCACACCCAUGCGUGGGACGUCUCCAGACUGUUGCAUACGAUCCUACAGGAUGUCUCUGUAUGCUUGAUUUGCCUGAAAUUGGUAUUAAUAAAAUGGGUUUCAUGCUUUAACCCUUAUAUAGAUAAAAAAUUGCUAUGCAGCCCAGGUUGAUUGCUAGCUUGGAUCAAGAGGGCAAACUCUGAAGUGUGGACCCAAUAUGGAGCGGUGACUAAAGUUCUUUCAUUCAUUCCUUCCUUCAUCCUCGGUAUGCACUUUAUCCUGGACAAGGUCCUGGUGGAUUCAUGCUGAAUAGGAUAUCAGUUCAUCCCAGUGCACCAUGCGCGCACACAAACAUUUAUUCACUCAUUUUAACCUUUUGACAAUUCGGCAUCACCUCACCUAAUCAAUACAUGUUUAAACAUCAUAGCACACUCUUCUUUGGAAUUUUUUUGUAUCUUAUUUUUAUUUUAUUGUGGCGGGUAUUUCAGAGCCCAGUUCCAUAUAUCUUGUAAUAUUCCAUUUUAGUGAUCUAGUUUAUUUCUGUUUUGCUCCCUACAGGAGAAAGCCUGGUAAGUAAUGGUGAGAAGUGUGCUUUUCAACUUUCCCUCCUCUAACGCACAGUGGUGUGGCUGAUCUGUCUGUGUGUGUGUUUUUUCCCCUCCUUCCUUUCAUCCUGUUUGUGAACUGUAACUUGUUGUGGAAUAAUUAUAGACUCAAAGACAAACCCUAUUCACUGCUAAUGUUAGCUGAAUGACUUGGGAAUAGACGACCAGAAGGGAUCAGAAGCCUUGAACAUGAUGGACUGAUGUGCUGUGAGACACUGGUUAAUAUAUUAAUAGCAGACGGUGACCAUGUUUGAAUAGUUCUUGGAAUCGAAACGAAUGAAAAGUGAUGCAUCAGUUUUACUCUAUUAAAAGCAAUAUGCAUAAGUGAUUUAUUUAUUUAUUUAUUACUCAUGUCUUGUAAAGCCCCCUCCUGUCAGUGCAGCGUUUAAUUGCGGGGAUAUUACAGCAUACAGAGAUUAUGGUCCAGGAUGCUCCCUGUAGAUGGAUUAAGUGUACGAGCGGAGCUGGAGCCGAUUUCUACAGAGUCGGAAAUGAAAACAUUUCCCUCCUGCCAUUUCUAAUAUCCACCUAGGGGAAAAGAUAAUGUAAAGACAAAAUUAUAAACUAUUCAUAACAUCUGGUCUCUUGUUCAUUGAAAAUUUACUGUCCCUGUUUAGUCUUUAUGACUGGCAGUUGUGUAAUGUUUGGUAAUUGGAGAUGUUUGAAGCAUGGUUUGCACAUAAAGCACUCGAAUUAUUAGUACAACCACAAUAACAUUUAAAUAUACACUCGCUAAGCACUUUGUUAAGAAAGCUAUACUAAUACUGGGUAGGGCCAUGCUUCGCUCUUAACCAGCCUGGAUUAUUGACACAAAGCAGGUUGGGGUAAUGAAUUCACGCUGCUGGUGACCGAUUCCAAACCUACCAUCUGUGUGCCUCAGCAGAAACAGAUUCAUCAGACCAGGCUGUGUUUUUUCCAGUCUUGGUGAGCCCCCUGCCCACUGCAGCCCAAGCUUUCUGUUCUUGGCUUACAGAAGUGGACACCAACAUGGUCUUCUGCGGUUAUAGCCCAUCCACCUCAAGGUUCAACAUUGCUGUGCAUUCUGUGGUGCUUUUCUGCUCACCACAGUUGUACAGCGUGUCUACCUGAGUUACUGUAGCCUUGAACCAGUCUGUUGGCCUCUCUCAUCAACACUGCUUUACUAUUCACAGAACUAGUUGUAAUGUAAACUCUAGAGACUGUUGUGUGUGAAAAUCAGCAGUUUCUGAAAUGUUCAAACCGGCACUAACACUCACGCAGCGGUCGAAAUCACAGAGGUCGCAUUUCCCCCACAUUCGUAUGGAUGACGUGAACAUUACCCGACACUGCUGGCCCAUGUCUGCAUGAUUUUAUUCAUUGUGCUGCUGCCACACAAUUGGCUGAUUGCAUGAAUAUGUAGCUGUGCAGUUCCUAAUAAAGUGCUCAGUGAGUGUAUAAUAUAAUGAUGUAAAUAAAUAGUAGUCUUUCAGGCAAGGUGGCAUGAUGGUGUGUUAACUUUACACCCUAGGGUCAACUAAACCUGGUGUAAUGCAUGUUCAUUUGCAGUGAUUUGAAGAUACGCAUUUGGAAAUGCCUUCUUGAGUCUUUUGGAUCUGGAACAAGGGGCAAAUACAUGCCGGAAGGAAUAAAACAUGACUGGGAAUGCUGUUGCAGGGAAAUAAUCAACGCUGGGGAGAGUCUUAAGGAAGGCUUAACAGCUGAGCAAAGACUCCACUUGUUCGACAACAAGGACACGAAGGAGUUCUGAAACUUGACGCCUCAGCCUGGCUUUGCUGCAUGUUAUAGAGGUCCACCAUAUUUUAUCCCAGUAAUUAAUCACUUAGAAACACACUGGUCACGGCACACAGCAUAUUAUUAUAAACAUGGUAUGAAGUUUGAAUUUUAUGUCUCUAGUCUGCAUUUUGUGCACUUCAGUUACUGUGACUUUUUUUUUUAAACAUGUCUUAAUGUAAAUAGUUGUUUUUAAUGAAGCAUCUAUCAUUCAUACACUAAACAUGACCGUGUCAGCUACUGUUUUAACUCUAGUAUGUGUGAAUAGCCAAAGGAUGGAUAAAUAUGUAAUGCCUCGAAUUACACUUACUUAAUAAAGAGUAGAAACAAUCAUACCUGCAGACGUGCUUAUUAUGGUAGAUGUGGUUAUGCACAUUCUCUCCAGCUUCCUGUCGAUUCUGAUGAAAUCGGAUGGCUGGCAAAGUGAAAAAGAAACACUACUUGAUCCCUGGAAGUAUUGGUGUGUGUGUGUGUACAUGGAGAUUACUGAAUGUUGCUGAAUGUUGACCAGUUCAAGGCAUGGUGUUUGUAUCUUGAGGGCUGUUUUUCCUAGUGUAAAAUGUAUAAACAGAUUUAUAUAGGGGGUUUCUUUAUGUAAUCAUGGUCAAUCCACUGAUUGGGAGUUGUUUUUGUUUUGUUUCGUUUCCCUUCUCCAUUUCCUGUCUUGCCCUUCAAGCUGGUAAUGUCUGUAGUGAUGUCCAGUCACAGUCUCUUGUAUUUAUUUAAAUGUCAUGUUUGUUUUUUGCUCACAUUUUUCAUUCCUCUAUACGUUGCUAUUGUAAAUAUACCACAAAUGUACACCGACUGACAGCAGGUUUAUUAGCAAUAAAUAUUUUUGCACCCUG